GGCCUUUUGAAUUUAAUAUAAGGUCUGACCUGCCCAGUGAUAGUUUUAACGGCCGCGGUAUACUGACCGUGCAAAGGUAGCAUAAUCAUUAGUCUUUUAAUAGAGGGCUGGAAUGAAAGGUUUCACGAGGAACUGACUGUCUCAUUUUAUUUGUUUUAAAAUUUAAUUUUUUAGUUAAAAAGCUAAAAUUUUAUUGGUAGACGAGAAGACCCUAUAGAGCUUUACAUAUAAUUAAAUAAAUAUUUUUAUAUUAAUAUUUUUAUUUAUUUUUUGUGUUUUGUUGGGGUGACAAAAAUAUAUAACUAACUUUUUUAUUUACUUUACAUUGAUUUAUGAAUAUUAGAUCCAAUAUUAUUGAUUAUUAGACUAAGUUACCUUAGGGAUAACAGCGUAAUCCUCCUCCAGAGUUCAUAUUUACAGGAUGGGCUUGCGACCUCGAUGUUGGAUUAAGAUAAUAAUUAGGUGUAGCCGCUUAAUUGAUAGGUCUGUUCGACCUUUAAAUUCUU
rnacentral:rRNA from 1 species